GUAAAGGCUCUUUUCAGGGCCCCUCACAAUUUGAUUUACAUUAUUU
rfam:Schistosoma mattheei strain Denwood, Zambia genome assembly, scaffold: SMTD_scaffold0002556